UACAGAGGGUGCGAGCGUUAAUCGGAAUUACUGGGCGUAAAGCGCGCGGAGGCGGCUUUGCAAGUCGGGUGUGAAAUCCCCAGGCUUAACCUGGGAACUGCAUUCGAGACUGCAUUGCUAGAGUAUGGGAGAGGGAAGUGGAAUUUCCGGUGUAGCGGUGAAAUGCGUAGAUAUCGGAAGGAACAUCAGUGGCGAAAGCGACUUCCUGGACCAAUACUGACGCUCAUGUGCGAAAGCGUGGGGAGCAAACAGG
rnacentral:rRNA from 1 species